rnacentral:rRNA from 1 species
UUUGUGGAGAGUUUGAUCCUGGCUCAGGACGAACGCUGGCGGCGUGCUUAACACAUGCAAGUCGAACGGAAAGGCUCCAACUUUGUUGGGGUACUCGAGUG